GGACCAUGGCUCAGUGGUUGAGAGCUUUCUUUGUAGGCAGAAGGUCCCAGGUUCAAUUCCGGGCAUCUCCA
rnacentral:tRNA from 1 species